GGUCUUGUGGUCUAGUGGUAUGAUUCUCGCUUAGGGUGCGAGAGGCCCCGCGUUCGAAUCGCGGCAAGACCC
rnacentral:tRNA from 15 species